GAGAGUUUGAUCCUGGCUCAGGAUGAACGCUAGCUACAGGCUUAACACAUGCAAGUCGAGGGGCAGCAUGGUCUUAGCUUGCUAAGGCCGAUGGCGACCGGCGCACGGGUGAGUAACACGUAUCCAACCUGCCGUCUACUCUUGGACAGCCUUCUGAAAGGAAGAUUAAUACAAGAUGGCAUCAUGAGUCCACAUGUUCACAUGAUUAAAGGUAUUCCGGUAGACGAUGGGGAUGCGUUCCAUUAGAUAGUAGGCGGGGUAACGGCCCACCUAGUCUUCGAUGGAUAGGGGUUCUGAGAGGAAGGUCCCCCACAUUGGAACUGAGACACGGUCCAAACUCCUACGGGAGGCAGCAGUGAGGAAUAUUGGUCAAUGGGCGAGAGCCUGAACCAGCCAAGUAGCGUGAAGGAUGACUGCCCUAUGGGUUGUAAACUUCUUUUAUAAAGGAAUAAAGUCGGGUAUGCAUACCCGUUUGCAUGUACUUUAUGAAUAAGGAUCGGCUAACUCCGUGCCAGCAGCCGCGGUAAUACGGAGGAUCCGAGCGUUAUCCGGAUUUAUUGGGUUUAAAGGGAGCGUAGAUGGAUGUUUAAGUCAGUUGUGAAAGUUUGCGGCUCAACCGUAAAAUUGCAGUUGAUACUGGAUGUCUUGAGUGCAGUUGAGGCAGGCGGAAUUCGUGGUGUAGCGGUGAAAUGCUUAGAUAUCACGAAGAACUCCGAUUGCGAAGGCAGCCUGCUAAGCUGCAACUGACAUUGAGGCUCGAAAGUGUGGGUAUCAAAUAGGAUUAGAUACCCUGGUAGUCCACACGGUAAACGAUGAAUACUCGCUGUUUGCGAUAUACUGCAAGCGGCCAAGCGAAAGCGUUAAGUAUUCCACCUGGGGAGUACGCCGGCAACGGUGAAACUCAAAGGAAUUGACGGGGGCCCGCACAAGCGGAGGAACAUGUGGUUUAAUUCGAUGAUACGCGAGGAACCUUACCCGGGCUUAAAUUGCAGAUGAAUUACGGUGAAAGCCGUAAGCCGCAAGGCAUCUGUGAAGGUGCUGCAUGGUUGUCGUCAGCUCGUGCCGUGAGGUGUCGGCUUAAGUGCCAUAACGAGCGCAACCCUUGUUGUCAGUUACUAACAGGUUCUGCUGAGGACUCUGACAAGACUGCCAUCGUAAGAUGUGAGGAAGGUGGGGAUGACGUCAAAUCAGCACGGCCCUUACGUCCGGGGCUACACACGUGUUACAAUGGGGGGUACAGAGGGCCGCUACCACGCGAGUGGAUGCCAAUCCCAAAAACCUCUCUCAGUUCGGACUGGAGUCUGCAACCCGACUCCACGAAGCUGGAUUCGCUAGUAAUCGCGCAUCAGCCACGGCGCGGUGAAUACGUUCCCGGGCCUUGUACACACCGCCCGUCAAGCCAUGGGAGCCGGGGGUACCUGAAGUGCGUAACCGCGAGGAGCGCCCUAGGGUAAAACUGGUGACUGGGGCUAAGUCGUAACAAGGUAGCCG
rnacentral:rRNA from 1 species